UCCCUUGUGGCUUAGCUGGUAAAGAAUCCACCUGCAAUGUGGGAGACCUGGGUUCAAUUCCUGGGUUGGGAA
rnacentral:tRNA from 1 species